GACCCAGAGGGAGGCUGAGAUCACAGAUUAGAAAAACAACCUAAGAACCAAAAAAGAAGAAUGUUUGCCUAACAUUAGGUACAUCAAGAAUAGUAUCUGCUUUCUGUUUCUUGGUACAAGAAAACUUGGAGGACUAGAUUUAGGGAGGGAAAUACUAAUAUCUAUUUCUCCACAACUGGACCAGCCAUGAUCUCUAUUUCUGCUUCAGUGAUUGGGAUCCUGUUAGUCUUCGGGGGCACUUAUGGAGACUCAGUGACCCAGACAGAAGAACACAUCACCCUCCCUGAGGGAGCAUCACUCACAUUGAACUGCUCUUAUCAGACUAGUGUGACACCUUAUCUUUCCUGGUAUGUCCAGUAUCCCAAUGAUGCUUUGAAGCUCCUCCUGAGAGAGACAGCAAGGAAAGACCAGGAGAAAGACAACAAUGGAUUCUGGACCAAAAAGAUAAAGGAAAAGUCUUCUUUCCACUUGGAGAAAACCUCAGUCCAAAUGGGAGAUUCUGCUGUGUACUACUGUGUUUUGAGUGACACAGUGAUGAGGACUGCAGGGGGAGCUGAACACAAACCCUGAGAGUUAUCCUGACUCUCACCAAUCCUGGGAGAGAAGUUUUUAUUUUUCGCAAACAAACCCUGUUUUGGGGACAUCACCUUGGGAAACAAAUGAGUUCUGCCAUCCCACAGGCAGUGGUGUUUUUGAAACUAGGAAAUAAAUGAAAGGGUGAAAGUCUGUGGAAUAUCCCAUCUCUGGGACAGUUCCUGCUCUCAGGCAUGGAGACUGCUCUUGCCCUGGCCCUGGGGGUUCAUAUUUAGGAAUUAAUCAUGAGAAAUGUGUUCAUUCUCUUUCAUAAACUAUAGUAUUUUAGUUUGGAAUUGUAAUAGAUGUAGGUGGAAAUAAUUCACCUAGUAAAAGUACAGGAAAUUGAGAUUUAUUGACUAUUAGGUCUGAAAGGGCUCAUUAAAUCCCUGCAGAUAAGGAAAGUGAAAUUCAUGAAAAGUGAAGAGAGACCCAAGUUACCAAAUCAGGCAGAAGUCAUAGAGGUGUAGGAUUUUAGAAGUAGGAGGGACUCUACUGGUUUAAUCCAAUCCAUACCCAAAAGAAAACCACAGAACAAAUCCAAUGAAUCAUUAUCCAAUAGUUGCUUAUCAAACCUCUUGAAACAUCCUAUUCCUUUUUUGGAAGUUCUAGUUCUUAGAAAUGUUAAUUGACUCUAAAUGUGCCUCUUUGUAAAUUAUACCCAGUGCUCUUAGUUCUGCUCUUGAGACCAAACAGAAAAGUCUAAUUUUUUUUAUAAAUUCAAAUUGUUAUCAUGUCACCAGUGAGUCUUCUUUUGUACAGGCUAAAUAGUCCUCACUUUCUUCAACUAUUAAUCAAAUAUAAUUUUUCAAGGUCUUUGGUCAUCCUGGUUACCCUUCUUAAUAUACUUUUCCCCUCUUUCAGUACACUUUAAAAUUUUUCAAUAUCCUUCUUUCUCUAACUCAGUAAAAUAUUAUAUAGAGAGACUCAUUAAGAUAGAUUACAGAGGGACUAUAACCUCUUUGUUCCUAGAAAUUACCUCACAACACAUUCCAUUACUGCAUGACAUUGUUAGCUACCUGAGAUCAACUUGAACCAAAUUGCAAAAGUAAAUUAUCAAAUUUUCAUUAUGUGGUUAUAACUUGGGAAUCAGCAAACAUAGGAUUUAGUUUAGUCUAUUGAAUGAACAAAUAUAUUAAAGAGACUUAAGAAAAUUAUGAAGAAUGAAUUAAAAAUACAAAUUAA